rnacentral:rRNA from 1 species
GAUGAACGCUGGCGGCGUGCCUAAUACAUGCAAGCCGAGCGAAUGGAUUAAGAGCUUGCUCUUAUGAAGUUAGCGGCGGACGGGUGAGUAAUACGUGGGUAACCUGCCCAUAAGACUGGGAUAACUCCGGGAAACCGGGGCUAAUACCGGAUAACAUUUUGAACCGCAUGGUUCGAAAUUGAAAGGCGGCUUCGGCUGUCACUUAUGGAUGGACCCGCGUCGCAUUAGCUAGUUGGUGAGGUAACGGCUCACCAAGGCAACGAUGAGUAGCCGACCUGAGAGGGUGAUCGGCCACACUGGGACUGAGACCCGGCCCAGACUCCUACGGGAGGCAGCAGUAGCGAAUCUUCCGCAAUGGACGAAAGUCUGACGGAGCAACGCCGCGUGAGUGAUGAAGGCUUUCGGGUCGUAAAACUCUGUUGUUAGGGAAGAACAAGUGCUAGUUGAAUAAGCUGACACCUUGACGGUACCUAACCAGAAAGCCACGGCUAACUACGUGCCAGCCGCCGCAGUAA